GCCGCCUCUCCCCACACAGUAAUGGCGGACACAGGUGGCAGAAAGGGAUGGAGAAGGCGCUUCACCUUUAGGAGGUGCCGAUCCUGGUGCCCACUCUGGAUAGCCAAAGGAGCUGUAGCAGGCACCUCGGAGUAGCAAAUUGGAAAAGCAGGGAUAGGUAGAUGAGAUGCAUCAGAAACUCGACAAUUGCAGCUGGAACUGCGGGAAGUCAGGGCAGGGCAGGCAGUGCGAGUUACAGUGUAGCAAAGAAACCACUGAGCAGUGGCGGAGAAAGGGCGGGGGCUGGCCAGUGGCCACCCCGCUCCAAACUGGGCAUCCCUGUGUUUCCCCUGAGGCACGGGGGCAGGAGGUGAAGGUCCUUUGCUUGGUGAGGUAGGGUGUUGGUAAGGUUGCAGUGCAAUGGCCACUCUCAGGAGUGAGGGCUCACCUCACGGCACAAGAAGCAGGACUGGGCUCGGCUCCGGUGGUGGCAGCGAAUCCCGCCCCUUCAGGCAGCAGGCCGACCAUCCUCCUCGGAAACCGAGAGAGCAAGAGCAGCUGACUAGCUAGCACCCAGCCCCAUUUUUUCCCAGCCCAGCUCUCCGCUCUUCCCAGAGAAACCCCCAGGUGAAGAGAGAGCCAGCUGCACCCCUCCCCUGAGCUGGGACAACUUCUUUUGCCUCUCUUAAGUACCCGGUCCUUAUCGUCCCUUAGCAACAAAAAUGGGGGGAAAUUCCCUAAGAGAAAAGAAAAAUAAAAGGAGAGCUGACUGAGGGAGGGGGCCCUGCUUCCAGGCUGGAGUAACCUGUCUUUGGAGAGCUGCACCCUGUGGAAGAGUGACCCACACCACGGGAGUUUUGGGAGGAUUGUGAGAUUGGAGACACGCUGGAGAAGGUCGCAGAGAACGUGGGAAGGGACCUCACAGGGGAACAACUCUGCCCAAGCAGUGGAAGAAAACUGAACUGACCAAACCCCCCCACCCUCUCUCUCUGCACUGAAGGUAAAAUGCAUGAGCUUCAAAGCAUUUUUGUUGGCACUACUUCAGUCUGAUCCUGAACGACAGCUAGCAAAAAAUAAGACACUGAAAAAGAACAAAACAAACAACAAUAACAGCAAAAAACCACAAACAAAAAAUUCUAGGGAAGUUACCACUUGUAACUGGUGUUCCCUUAGCAAAGAGUCUCUCUUGAUCAAUUCCCCAUGGCCCCCACCCUUUCUUAGAAAGAGAGAAAAUAAUUUCAAAUCCAUUUUGUAGCUUUGUAUUAUCCUACCUUUUGAAAUACAACUACCCUGAAUAACAACUGCUUCUGCAAGUCUCUAUCUGUUGUCAUUUCCAUACUGUCCAGGGAUUUUUUUCUUGUUGUUAUUUAUUUUACUUCUUUUUUUUCACCUAAUGACUGGGGUGCCAAAAAAGGGACACAUAGAUGAAGAAAGGGGAAGAGCUUACUCAGAACAGAGAGACGUCUGUUUUGGUUUAGAAUACAUGGUAAUUGAACCAGCAAUGUGAAUUUAUUUCCAGGAUAAUAAUUCAGGAGCAACUGAUCUUCCAAAUAUCCAUCCUGAAUAUUGUAGAAAAAUUGGAAGUUGGUAGUUCUUUCCGGUAAUUUAAUCAGCUUUUGUGUUUGGUCUUUGCAAGAGACUGGCAACUACUGGAGCAGCUGAGAGACUGUUCCUUAAUUGCUCUGAACUGCACAAUAGAAAAUUCAUCAAUAAUUUUCACAAUUGUUUUUGGAAGAGAAGCUGCUUAUCAUGUCUCAUUGUGCAAGAGCACAGUAGCACUAAGAGCAAAUUGCAUUGGACUUAAGUACUUUUCUAAUUAGAAUAGCAAAUAGGGGAGUUGGGCUGGUUUGGGUUAAGAUAUUGUAAUUAUCCUUAGUGUGAGUAUAUUUAAAUGGAUAAAAUGGAAAAAUGGAGUGAGUACACUAGUUCUGUCUUCUGUUAUAUUUAAAAGACAUCUCAGCUAUAUAAUAUUUACUUGCCUCAGAGCAUUUCUGCAGUCAAGUCUACUGAGAUUAUGGAUCUGAAGAUUUGCCCAAGGUUGGGGAGAAAUCAUAACAUAAUAUUAUUGUGUACUGAAUAUAACCUGUAACUUUAAAAAUAGGAAGACUUUUCUGUUCAGAAUUAUUGGUUCUAAAGAAAGCUCAGUAGUUCCUUGUGUGGAAGAGUGCAAACAGGGAGAAGUCCAUGAUGGCUCUGAAGAGUUUAAAGGUCAGGACACUGGCAUUUGGAAGACUGUGGUGUAGGAACACAAUUUCCCUGGAGGAGAGCAAACAAGGAAGCAGAACCUAGCUACCCUAGAUACUAUGUAUUAAGGUUCUCAAUCAUGUAGAUGUUAUAAAACUAACUUGGUUAAUUGUCACUUGUCACUUACAGUGCUAUACCAGACUGUACAAUUAAAAUUUCUGUGUGACAAGCAGUUACAAGACAGCUGGGAGCGGUAGGGAAAAACAGAUAAUUAUAAACCUGAUUUGUGACCCCAAUCCCUCUUCUUUAUGUCAAAAGCUAUGACAGAAUCAAGCCCAAAUUAAGAAGCAACAAUAAGAAAUUCUUGGACUAUUGAAUAUUAAAGGUCGCUUAGUACAAAAGUGUAAAAGUCAAAGAAAAAUAUAGGAAAGUUGAUUGGAGAGGAUUUAACUACUUAAUAUGGAAUGCAGGUUGUGAUGUUUCUUAACGGAAUGAAUAAUGCUCUUAAAGAACACUAAGUAUACCUUUGCACUUUGUACAUAUAUGCUGAUUUUUAAAGUUACUCAUAACAUUUAUAGAACUCUCCAUGGUUAAAUAUUGAUUUUGAAAAGAUCAGCACUUUCAUAUUCCAGCCUUCACUAGCUAACAAAAAGCUGAAAGAUUAUAUAAAAAAUUCUUCAUAAACUGGUAUGUCUCUCAAUAGAUUUCAGUUUAGUCAGGGUAAAGAUUUGAAAUACCAUGGUCUGCCCUAGAUUAAUAACAAAUCUCAGUAGAAAUGCUGAAAUAAGGUAUGGAGGGAGCUAACCUUUCCAUCCCACCUGUUCUGUUAUGGGUGAAAACCACUAGCCAAUAAAGUCUCUGUACAGCGUAAAUCCAUGCUGAUAAUUCUUUCAUACUUCAGAAGGGUAAAUAAGCCCUUUCUUCAAUUCCUAUCCCUUUAUUGGGUGAUAGUAAAUACAAAUAUAUUACUGCAUACUUUGAUUUGCUUUACGUUGACAAUGGACUUACCCUUUGGGGAGUCACAAAACAGAAAUUAAUAUUGAGGACAAUUUAGCUAUAAACUUGAUAAUUCCACGGAAUACAAAAAUUACAUUGUUUGAUUUUGAGGCUGAAGUAACAUGGACACUUCAGCCUUGCUUGCUAAGAAUCCAAGCCAUGUCCUUCUGUAACUGCUGCUUUGUUUAGAAACCAAAACACUCCAUUAUGCCUUCAACACUGAUGGAAUGUAAGACUAGAUGAGCAAAAAUGUGUCAGAAGAGAUUUGCAGAUAAUGUGAUGACGUAAAUAAUUCUUUUUUAUAGUAAAUUCUUUUUGAUUUUUUUUUCUUUUUUUUCCCCCUAAUUUUUAUUUCAGCUAUCUUCAUAUAGGACAGCCUUGCAUUGGUAUCUUGGCUACAAAAAAUGAUCCCUUUUUGAAGUAGGCCUGUUAAAUUACCAUUCUUUGAACAGUUUAUUGUAAAAUAUGAAAAAUACACCAGAUUAAAUUCAGAAUUACCUAUGCUGUGA